AUCCAUCCAUCCAUCCGGAUUUGGAUCCAUCUCUUCCCCUCUUCCGUCGCCGCCGAACCAACCCUAGCUAGCUGCCUACCUCGGAUCAGUCCGGCUGCGAGAGGCCACCGGCGGCAUGGCUGCGUGCGAUGCGAGCGCUCUAAUCGGAUCAAAUCAGAUAGAUCUGACCGAAUCCCGCCGCCGCGCCAGCCCCGCUCCCCGUGGCCGAUGACCGCGUCGGCUGGGGCCGCGUCCCUCCCCGGACGGCUGCGAUGAUGGAGGAACCCGCCGGCGCCGGCCAGGCUCCCGAGCGGCCGACGCGCCGGGUCGCCGCUCCUCGGGGCCAUCCCCUCCCGCCGCGCCGGCUCGGCGACCCCUCUGGGAUGCCGCCGGUGCUGGGGAACGUCCGCGGCGGCGCGGCCUGGGGACCGAGCGGCGGGGCCCGUGGUGCUCUCCGGUCGAGGGCUUGGUCGGGCGAGCUCUCGUUGCCGGAUCGCUGACCCAUCGUCCCGGUGGCCGCUGCGUCAGUUCCGCACCGCUACGGAGCCGCCAGCCGCCGCCGUUCCAUUGCCUUGGAUUCGGUUGUGGCGUGGGCCGGAACCGUGCUCUGUUGUCUGAUGCGUUGUUCGAGCCGGGAGGUUUGGUCGGUCGAGGCCAGGCAUGAGCAGCUCCUGAGCAGGAUGGAUGGAUGGAUGCAUUCAUGUGUCGUGAACUAAAACCACGACUCCUAUUUUGGAACGGAGGGAGUAUGUAUGUAUGGAUAUCAUGGUCAUGUUGCUUGGUGUGGGGGUUGAACCUCCUUUUUUGGAAAAAAAAGAGGGGCAAUGAUGAUGAUGACGACGACGAUGGCUGAAAUAAUCAUGUCUUGAGCAAUCAAGACAGUCGUGGCGUGGUGGUACUAAACAGAGCCGAAAAAUCGGUGUCUGCGUUGGAGUUGGCCUUAGAGCCCACCCUCGCCUCUCUUGCAGCCUGUCUAAUUUAUCGCUGAUGUUGGAUGCUUUGUGCCUCGGACGGUCAUUCUGUUGAGUGAUAACCAUGGCAGUUCUCUUGCAUCGUGAUGGGUAGAUUAUGCAGCAAGAGAUUGUGAGGGUUGGGCUUGAAGAUGGAAGACAAAACUGAGCCUCUUUUGCUAUGCUACAUAUACCCCCCACCCCUCUACCUCUAACCCUAAACCAAAUCAGUCGAGCUCUCAUUGCCUACUCGCUGGCCAAUCUGGGUGGUGCCCGCAUCAGUUCACUGCUGCGGUGCUGCCAGCCUCUGCCGUUCCAUUGCCUUGGAUUUGGCUGUGGCGUGGGCUGGGAACCGUACGGUGUUAUCUGGGGCGUCAUCAGGUUUGGUUGUUCGGUCCAGGCCAGGCAUGAGUAGCUCCUGAGGCUGAUGGGGAUGGAUGGAUGGACAUGUGCAUGCAUGUACAUUCACUCAUUUUGCUCCGUAUGUAGUCCAUAUUGGAAUCUCUAUAAAGGCUUAUAUUUAGAAACGGAGGGAGUAUGAUCUAAACACUCUUAUAUUUCUUUACAGAGGGAGUAUGUAUGUAUGUAUGUAUUUAUGGAUAUCAGGGUCAUUUUGCUUGGUAGGCAAAGGCGAUGAUGAUGACUGUGGCCGAAAUAAGCAUGUCUUGAGCAAUCAAGACAGCUGUGGCCUGUGGGUAUUAAAUUAGAGCCCACCCUUACCUCCCUUGCAGCCUGUUCAAUUCAUCGGUGAUGUUGGCACCUUGGACGGUCAUUCUGAUGAGUGAUAACCAGGGCAGUUCUCUUACAUUGUGAUGGGUAGAUUAUGCAGCAAGAGAUGUGAGUGUUGGGUUUGAAGAUGAAAUGCAAAACUGAGCCCUCUUUUGCUUACGAUCCUUGUAUCCUCUCUCUCUCUCUCUCUCUCUCUCCCUCCCUCCCUCUCAAACAAAUCAGUCAAGCUUUCAUUGCCGCCUCGCUGACCCAUCGUCCGGGUGGCUGCCAUGUCAGUUCCCUGUCUCUACGGUGCUGCCAGGUGCCGCCAGUCCAUUGCCUUGGAUUUGGUUGUGGCGUGGCUGGGAACCGUAAGGCGUCUGAUGCGUCGUCCACACCGGGAGGUUUGGUGGGUCAAGGCCAGGUAUGAGCAGCUCCUGAGAUUGUCUAAGUUACUCACCACUAUGACUAGUCUGAUGGAUGGAUGGAUGAUGGAUGAUGGAUGGAUUGUUAUGGUCAUGUUGCUUGGGGAGUUGACCUUUUCUUUUAAGGGCAAUGAUGAUGCCUGUGGCUGAAAUAAUUAUGUGUUGAGCAAUCAGGACAGCCGUGGCAUGUGGGUACUAAAUAGGCCCCAAAUGGGUGCCGGCAUUGGAGAUGCCCUGAGAGCUCUCACCCUUACUUCUCUUGCAGCCUGUUCAAUUCAUGGCUAAUGUUGGAUGUUCUGCGCCUCGGAUGGUCAUUCUGAUGAGUGAUAACCAGGACAGUUCAAUUACAUCGCUAUGGGCAGGUUAUGCAGCAAGAGACGUGAGUGUUGGGCUUCAAGACGAACAGGCAAAACUGAGCCCUC